GCUCAGCCUACAAAUUUUCUAGCUGUGUCUCCAUGCAUUUAGUUUUAACAAUACAAGAGCUCCUUGCAAACUACUGAGAAGGGAUGUUUCAUUAUAUUAAUUUCUUCAGUAUAAGGCAUAGCCCUUUUGUUUGAUGAAGCAAAAUAGUUGUCCAUCUGACUUGAAGAAAUUCCCUGUCUGUGAACGUCAGUGAUUUAUAUUCUGCAGAAGUCACGGUGGAAGCUAUUAAUGAACACCAUGUCUCAUGACUGGGCCUGCUUGAUGAUGUUCUUCAGAAGGGGUAAUUUCAUGAAAAGAGAGACACUAUUCUUAAAGGAGUCUGGAAAGCUUGCUGUGACGUUAUUAAAAAUACUCUAUUUUUACCUUGAAGAUCAAGUUGGAACAGCUCCAGCGGACAAUGUAUCAGCAGUUCUCUGGAUAAAUUGUGUAGAAGGCAAUCAUUUGGAAACUCUUGCCAAGCUGGGGAGUUUCCGGGAAGUACCACACAGUCUUCAGCUAUCAUCGGGAGCUUUGCGAGGGCCGUGGAUGGAAGUUAAUCAUUCAUUAAACUACAAUAUGGCUUGCAAGGCUUGGGAAUGAGAUGUACUGCACAGCUGCAUAUAUUCCUCAUCUGCAGGUAGAAAUCCCCCUAAAGAAGCCUUUUUGGAAGACUUACCUGUGUUUACAGGUAGUAAAGAAAAUAGGACAUAAGAGAAGACACUGCAGGACUGAAUAACAAAAAUGGGAAUCUGAUAUUGUAUCCAGUGGAAUUCCAUGCUGAAAGCCUGUAAGUUAAUUCCAACCACCCUGCAGAAAGAGAACGGGAGGUAGGAAAUACUCCUAUCAAACUCCAUAUCUGGAAGUUUAGCAUAGCUUU
rnacentral:lncRNA from 1 species